AGCAAGCGAGCGAGCGUGUCCUCCUUCCGCCUCCCUCUCUUCCGUCGUCCGCACUGGGCUGGGGCGGCGGCGCCUGAGCGGUUCCCUCGCGAGCCUGUGCGGACCUAGCCGCUGGAGAAGAGGAGGAGCAGCCCGGGCGGGGCGGAGACGCUUGCGGGCUCCUCUCAGUCACUUCAGCCAAUCAACAGCCAGAACCGAUGGUUGCGUAGUGUCCCCACCCCCUCGGGCACGCCUCUCUUCGAUAAGCCACGCCCAACUGCCCUCCAGCCGCCUUCCCUUUCGGCGGUUUCCGCGCGGUCCUAAUGUGUGGUGGCUGACCGCGGGCUGGGGUGGGGAAGGACGCGGUAGGACUGUAGGAGAUGGCUAGGUGUGCUAGAGCGCGGCAAGGCGCUGCUGAGACCCGCGUGUGCGGAGGGAAGUGGGGAACUGCCCCUUUUCCAAGGGCCUGAACACAGCUUUUGACUACUGACUGUCCUGUUCUGCCUUCCUCUUCGCGUGGGCCACCGCCCCACAGCGCCGCUGGGUUCCCUUCGCGGCCGCAUGGUACGCGUCCCGGGAGCGAAGCUUCCCCUGGGGGGAGCGCGCUAACCUGAGCUCCUUCGGUGCACCGCCCUGCCGACUGUCUGGAAGUCAGCAAUGGGAUAUUCCCACCACAACUUUACCGGGAUCUCUGGGUUGACUCUCUGGGUUGAGGAUCGGGGAGCUGGGUCGGGAGGCUGGCUUGUGGCUGUGGUUGAGGGGCCCGGACGCCUCGAAAGCAGGAGGGUGCCCAGGCGAAGUGCAGGCUGCACCAUGCAAUCUUCCGGGCGCAGAGGCGACCCAACCCGACCUGAGGGAGAUCCACGGGCUCUGGGCCGAGGGGAGACGCAGUGGAAUGAACUGAACUGCUGGUCCACAAGAACAGUUUUUCUAUCAAAGGAUACCAUCAAAUUCUGGAGAAGUUCUACAAAUCAUAAUCUAUUUCCCUUUUUCCAGAAAGGCAACUUGAUUCGGGGGGAUAUGGCAGCUUCCACUCUGAGGUGCCCUUACUUCAAAUCAGGCCCAGCCCAAGGAAUUCUAGUAGCAUGUAUCCAACUGUUUCAAACCUCCACCUGCUACAUGGGCGUGGCUUCUGAGAUCGACAUGCUUCCAACAGCUUAUACAGAGUGA
rnacentral:lncRNA from 1 species